CAUGCUUAUUAUGGGGCAAAAAUAUGUAGCAUUAUGCAUUGUAAUAAAUUUGAGGCAUCUUAUUCUUACCUGCAUGCAUUGUACUCUUCCACCGUUGCUUGCAAUGGAGGUAAUGUCAUUGUUGGCCUUUCUAACUGGGAAGCCAGCCAUGGACUUGAGGCCGGUGAAUGGAGCCACCAUGCUGGCCUGUGCCGGAGAGGCACCUUUAAUGGUGGUGGCGGCGGCUGAGGAGGUGAUCAUAGAGGAAGCCAUUUCUUUCUCCUUUUUUUAGUUCUCUAGUCAGAAAUACUUGCAAGGCUUCUACUCAAACAGGGUAUAUAUUGCCAAAAUGAUAAACAUUGUAGAAUAUGAACCAAAGAAAUCAUAUCAUGAUAAGAGCUUCACGCCGCAGCUAGUUUAGUCCACAAAAUUAUAUCCAAGUUGUAAUAACCCUCGAUCCUCCAAGAACAACGUUUUAGAAUUUUCUUCUCCGAAAAAUUUGCAUGGGGAAAACUCCAAAGGAUAUGUUAAUGGACUCCAAUUUUAAAAUUUGAAACAGAAAGUAGAGAAAUUAGUCUUGCGUUUGAGCCAGAGAUAAGUUAUACCAUAUGAUUUUGACCUUUUAUAUUCAUACAUAGACCUUAGAAAUAUGUGACAUUCACUUUUUUUGAAAUGACUAUUUUAUUUUCACAUUUCUCCUCAAUUUUUUCUUAAUUAGAUUUCCAUUUUCAUAAGUAUUAGUCAAUUAGCCAUAUGAACCUCUUAUCUGUUUUUUUAUCUCACUGCAGUCUUUUCCACAAAUGUUGCUAUCAAAAGGGACCAGUAUUUAAUGCAAUCGUGAUUCACAAAACCCACAACCUCUUAAUGAUUAAUUCAGUCUUAGAAAACUGAUUCUAAUAAAAGGAUGAAUGGUGUAAGUAAUAAAAAUAAGAGCACGUAUAACUUGAUCGUAAGCACAUGUACAAGCAUUUAGUUGUUGAUUGAUUCUGCUCUUAUUAUAUAAGAAUCUAUUUUACUUGAUAAAAAAAAUUUGGAGUUGUUCCAAUGUUUAUUGGUCUAAAAAAAAAGGGUUGUGUGUGCAUAUAUGAGAGGCAUAAAAAAAUAGUGGCUUUUUUGUGCUAAGGAGGGUAGCUAUUUUUUGUCCCAGCAAAACAAAAAAUUAGUAGCUCAAACCCCCCCAAAAGCAAAAAAAUAAAAAAAAUAAAUGGAACCCGCGGGCCAGCCCGCCCCAAAAAGGUGGCGGGGCGGGCUGGCCCAACGGGCUGAGCCCAUAUUGCCAUCCCUAUGAUUAAUGGACUUGAGAUUACUCCCUCCGUUCCAGAAAGUAAGGGUGCACAUGGGCCGGGUCAAUCCAUUGAAACCAUCCAACCGAAUUCGAUCCAAUGAUAAAUAUGCGGGUUGGAUUGGGCAAACGGGUUAAUCAAAUGAAUUUUAUUACGAUCUAAUCGUCUUUGGAUCGGAUAUCGAAUACCAUAAUAAUUCAUCCAACCCAAUCCGAAAUCCAAUCAUAUGAUAAUAAUAUAUUAUUUAAUAUAUAUUCUUAAUAAUUUUAACUUUAACCUAACAUACUAGUAGGGUAUGUAAUUUAUAGAGACUCUGAGUCCUUCUACUAGAGUAAUUUUUAGGAGACUUGGAGACUAAUUUGUUUGUAAUUACUUCAUAUUUAAAGACUUGAAGUACUUGUUUAGUUAUGUGUUGUUGUAUAGAUGCGUGUAGACCGUAGUUAUGAACUUAUGAUGUAAUUGCAUGUUAGAGACUUGGACUACUUGUUUUUUUUUUAAUAUUUUUCAAUAUUCCGGAUUUAUUUUUAUUUUAAUAUUGCGAUCUAAUCAAUCCAUCCAAACCAACCCGAAGAUUGUCGAAUUGGGUUGGUUCGGAUUCGUAGGUGAAAAUGCAUGAAAUCCAACCCAACCCAACCCAAACAGUUUUGAUCGGUUCAAAUCCUGAUUAGCCUGAAAAUCCAUCCAAACCCAACCCAUGUGCAGCCCUACCAGAAAGUUUGUAGUUUUGGGCAUGAUUUUAAUAUCCCAAAUAGUUUGUUGUUUUAGGAUGUCAAUGCAUUUUUCCCCAUUUUUUUCCACUUAUACCCUCAUUUAAUACAUUUUCUCUCACUUAUCACCUUUAAUAUUAACCAACCACAACUCUUCUCUAUUAAUUACAUUCUUCUAUAUCUAAGUAUAAUUUAAUAGUUGCACAUCAUACUAGUAAAAUUAACCAACCACAACUCUUCUCUUUGUGCCACAACCUUAAACUACAAACUUUAUGGAACAAAGGGAGUAAUAAUUAUCAACCGAUGAUCAGAUUCUUACAAAGAUUGAGUUUUGAUGGAUAAAGAAAAUAUGUUUUAUUUUUAAAAAAGAUAGCUACUCUCUCCGUUUCAAUAUAAGUGGCCAGAAAUAAAAGAAACCUGCACAUUAAUAAAUACAAUUAUUAUUGUUAACUUUUAAAAAUAAAUUAUUUGUUUUCCUUUAAGAUAAAUUGCACCCGCAGGAAUCGAUCACUGGAUCUCCCCCAUCUCCUACCACUUGAUCUAUCUUAUGGAGACAAAUAUUUUUACUCUAAGUGAUCACUUAUAUUGAAACAGAAAGAGUAUUUAAUUGUAUUUGGAUCUAUGUUGAAUUUGGUUUAAAACUACUACAAUUAUGAUUUGUAAAUUGUAAGUAGCAUAAAGGAAAGUGAAGAAAUGCCUCCAACAAAAGGCUUUACUGGACUUUAGCUUUGCUAAUAAAUCUAUCAAAUGUAUAGCAAAUUUGUCAGAGCAUCAUCAUCCAUACAUCAAGAGACUCGCUAAUUUGAAUUGUAUAAUUACAAUUCUCCAUAAUGACACAUCAUUUACAUUAUUUUAAACAAUUCUACUAACUUUUUACUUCAACUCAAUAAUUUUAAAAUAUUUCUCAAAUGUACCUCACAAUCUACCUCGUUUUAUAUAUUAUUAAUUAUCUUUAUUUAAUCAUUUCAUUCAUCACAUAAAACAAAAUGGUGCUUGUUGCGGUACCUUGAGCCAGAUCAAGGCGUGGUACCUAAAAUGUCAUAAACCAAUAGAAAAUAUACAAUUUAAACUUAGAGGAAGAGGAUAAAGGAGGAUUUUGAGGUUUAAUAUGGGCGGAGAAUGAAGGAAGAAUGCAGCCCUACCAGAAAGUUUGUAGUUUUGGGCAUGUUUUUAAUAUUCUAAAUAGUUUGUUGUUUUAGGAUGUCAAUGCAUUUUUCCCCAUUUUUUUCCACUUAUACCCUCAUUUAAUACAUUUUCUCUCACUUAUCACCUUUAAUAUUAACCAACCACAACUCUUCUCUAUUAAUUACAUUCUUCUAUAUCUAAGUAUAAUUUAAUAGUUGCACAUCAUACUAGUAAAAUUAACCAACCACAACUCUUCUCUUUGUGCCACAACCUUAAACUACAAACUUUAUGGAACAAAGGGAGUAAUAAUUAUCAACCGAUGAUCAGAUUCUUACAAAGAUUGAGUUUUGAUGGAUAAAGAAAAUAUGUUUUAUUUUUAAAAAAGAUAGCUACUCUCUCCGUUUCAAUAUAAGUGGCCAGAAAUAAAAGAAACCUGCACAUUAAUAAAUACAAUUAUUAUUGUUAACUUUUAAAAAUAAAUUAUUUGUUUUCCUUUAAGAUAAAUUGCACCCGCAGGAAUCGAUCACUGGAUCUCCCCCAUCUCCUACCACUUGAUCUAUCUUAUGGAGACAAAUAUUUUUACUCUAAGUGAUCACUUAUAUUGAAACAGAAAGAGUAUUUAAUUGUAUUUGGAUCUAUGUUGAAUUUGGUUUAAAACUACUACAAUUAUGAUUUGUAAAUUGUAAGUAGCAUAAAGGAAAGUGAAGAAAUGCCUCCAACAAAAGGCUUUACUGGACUUUAGCUUUGCUAAUAAAUCUAUCAAAUGUAUAGCAAAUUUGUCAGAGCAUCAUCAUCCAUACAUCAAGAGACUCGCUAAUUUGAAUUGUAUAAUUACAAUUCUCCAUAAUGACACAUCAUUUACAUUAUUUUAAACAAUUCUACUAACUUUUUACUUCAACUCAAUAAUUUUAAAAUAUUUCUCAAAUGUACCUCACAAUCUACCUCGUUUUAUAUAUUAUUAAUUAUCUUUAUUUAAUCAUUUCAUUCAUCACAUAAAACAAAAUGGUGCUUGUUGCGGUACCUUGAGCCAGAUCAAGGCGUGGUACCUAAAAUGUCAUAAACCAAUAGAAAAUAUACAAUUUAAACUUAGAGGAAGAGGAUAAAGGAGGAUUUUGAGGUUUAAUAUGGGCGGAGAAUGAAGGAAGAAGAUCUAUGUUGCACGGAUACGGGUACGGUACCGGUACCGUGUACGGGUACGUGUACGGGGUAUGCCAGUUAUUAUAUAUAUAUAUAUUUAAAUAAAAAAUAUAUAUAUAAAAAAUAGAAAUAAAAUGUUUUCUACACAAUAUUAUUAAUUAAAAAUAAAAUACUCGUAUUUCUUGGCCAAUACUCAUAUCAAAGUCCAACAUGAUGGGAAGAAGAAGAACGUGAGCGACCCUCUCUCUUCAUCUUCAUAGCAGCUGUAUGUUAAAAAGAGUGAAAGGUAAAUUAGGUUUUGGUCUUUUAAAUAAAUUGAGAAUAAUUUUUAAAAUUAAAUAAAAAACUACAAAACGACAUAGUUUAGAACAUUUUUCAUUUUAAAAAAAAAAACUUAUCCGACGUGCCCACGGUGUACCAAAAACGUACCCAGCUUUUUUUGUUUGGCGAUGCAUUUGGGUACGUACCCACGGCGUACCCACUGCGUACCCGUACCCGGUAUCGGUACUCUACCAAUUUUGGCGUACCCGUCCAACAUAGAAGAAGAUCCUCAAAUGAAAGAAAUUUUUAUGACCUUUCAGAAUUGCAAGUUGAACUAAAAACUCUAAUUUUCAAGUUGUGCAUUUCAUAACAUAAACAAAUUUAAGAACUAUAUGUUAUUAAUUCAUUUAAGUGGAUCAUUGAACUUUUUAAAAUUGCAAUAAUAUAUUAUUUCGCCUUUUUCCAACAAAAUUGUAACUUAAAAUAUUAUAUGGGGUACCACACAAAAAAAAAUCCGGGUACCACAGAAUUCACCAAACAAAACAAACAAAAGGUAAAUUGGGUCUCACAAUAGCAACGCUUUGGGAGUUACUGCGUUAAACAACUCUUCCUAUGACUUGACAACUCUUGGUAGGUGAGUUGCUAACAUAGUUGCAUGUCAAAGAAGAACCCAAAAAAAUCUCCCGUUGUUGAUCCUCUCAAGCAAAUGCAAAAGUGCAAAAGUUGUAAAGAUUAUUUGUUAAAAAACCAACACAUGGCUCAGUUGGUUAACACACACUACUUCUUCUUCGAAGGUUGUUCGUUCAUUUCUCACUACUGGUGUGAGGGUUGUGUAGGUGAGCGAUCUAUAAACAACUUUGUAAAAAACCUAUGAUUCCGAAGACAUACCCUAGUCCAUGAUAGUGACAAAAAAUAAACACGCUUAAACUUUCAUUCAGCAAUAAAAGAAAGAAAGAAAAAAAAAACAGAAGCUCUGCAAAUAUAUUUGUUACCAAGGUAGCAUGACUUUCUAUUUGGUAUAUGAAAGUUAAGUAGCUUCAUGGCCAAAAGAUACAGUUGAAGUCUCAUGAUGUUGGUUUAAAAGCUUAUCAAGGGGUCAAAAUGAAUAAUUAUAUCUUCACACCUCAUUUUGAGGUGUGGAAAGGUGGAGGAAGAGAAAAAUAGGAAGAAAAGAGAGAGAAAGUAAAGAUGUGAUAUGUGAUUUGAUUGAUAGAAAAAUGAGAAAUAUAUAGUAAUGAAUGUGGAAAAAAAGUGGAGAAGUGUGUAUAUAUGAUAACUCGGUAUAAAGUUAUAACUACUAGAUACUAGCUAGCGACCAACACUUCAAAAGACUGAUAGGAAACUGUGUGAACUUAAUAUAUCCUUAUUUAUAAGCAUUUUGCUCCAUUUUGUGUGUGCAGAAAGGCUAAAAAUAUACAAAAUAUUAAAGGGAGGUAUUUGGCUGUUAUAUUUAUCUGUCACUUUACCACAAUAUCAUACCAUAAGUUCAUUUCUUUGUAAAACAUUCCAUAAAUUUCAAUCCACUGGAAGGACAACCACAGAUAAUGAGUUAUUAAGAAAUUUGGGAACAAAGCAAUUAUUCAUUCAAGUGCUCUUAUCCAUUCAUUUGCCUAUGCAAAUUUGCAAAUGUGAAACUCAAACAAAAAAUGCCAAAAUAUAGGAUGGCAUUUCUCUUGUAAAAAGAAAAAGAAAAAACUGAACACAUGGGAAGAAGGGGGAGGCUACAAAUGCCUUUUUGUAUGUAGAUUUCAAACUUAGUAGCCUGCUGGUCUGUGUGCAAUGAAACUGAUGCACUGCACUUGGCGAACAUUGUCGAAUCCAAUGAUGCGCACAAAAGCGUUGGGGUAUGCCUUCACAGCCUCAUCAAGUUCCUUCAACACCUGGGUAGCAUCACUGCACCCAAACAUGGGGAGCUUCCACAUGGUCCAGUAGCGUCCGUCAUAGUAUCCAGGUGACUUGUGGUUCUCACGGUAGACAAAGCCUUUCUGCACACACAAAAUGCAGCAAACAGUUCAUCAACCAUCAAAACUCAAAAUUAUUGAUAACUCCAGAAGCUGCACUUUGUAGCUUCUGUCCAGAAGAGAUUAUGAGACUUCUCACCACAGAACCAAACAACUGAAACAAGGGCUGGAGGUAAAUUUACCUCCAACUCGAAUUCCAAGCAAGAAAUCAACCAUCAAACUUCAAAAUUAUAUGCAUAUGUUUGAAUUGGUGGUGACACACAUUUCAAAUCACCAUACUUUUAGCUUGUUCGAUUAUGCAGUGAGAAGUCUCAUAGUCAAUUGCAGAGAGAAGCUACAAAGUGUUGCUUCUGAACUUGAGCUUUGAAUUGUGUGACACCACCAAUCCAAAUCUACUAUUUGUAGCUUCUCUGGGGAAGUGAUUAUAGGACUUCCUACCACAUAACUAUAAGCCUAAUAAUGAAACACUAGAAAGUAAAGAACCAAAGGGUUGGAAGUAAAUUGACCUCUGUCUCGAAUUCCAAGCAAGGAACCCAACCCUUCCUAAGAAGGUAUUCUACUUCCUUUAAGAGUUGCUCUGUGGUGAGUGGUGGAAGGUAUGAAAGAGUCUCGAACUUCUUCUUGCCAACAGGAGGCCACACCUAGUAGCAUGCAUAAGAUUGAGUAAAUUGGUUAACAAAUUUGUCGUCAAGGACUUUAAUACUAUCAUUUAGUACAUGUUUCAAAUCUCUUCCGCAAUUAUGGGAAGAAACUUACGUGAGUGUCUUCUUUGUCAGAAUUGGUUAGAAUGGAAUAGCUAGAAGCUGUGGUACAAAAAUUUGUAGCAUUGUAAUCAUUUUGAGGCAUCUUACCUGCAUGCAUUGUACUCUUCCACCGUUGUUUGCAAUGGAGGUAAUGUCAUUGUUUGUCUUUCUAACUGGGAAGCCAGCCAUGGACUUGAGGCCAGUGAAUGGAGCCACCAUGCUGGCCUGUGCCGGAGAGGCACCUUUAAUGGUGGUGGCGGCAGCUGAGGAGGUGAUCAUAGAGGAAGCCAUUUUUUCUCCUUUUUCAGUUCUCUAGUCAGAAAUACUUGCAAAGCUUCUACUCAAACAGGGUAUAUAUAUUGCCGAAAUGAUAAACAUUGUAGAAUAUGAACCAAAGAAAUCAUAUCAUGAUAAGAGCUUGACGCCACAGCCAGUGUAGUCCACAAAAUUAUAUCUGGGUUGUAAUAAUCCUCCCCCAAGAACAACUUUUUAGAAUUUUCUUCAGGGAAAAACUCAAAAGGAUAUGUUAAUGGACCCGAAUUUUAAAAUUUGAAACAGAAACUUGAGAAAUUAGCCUUGGGUUUGAGUCAGGGAAAAGUUAUACUCCCUCCGUUCCUUAUUAUAAGGCCAUUUUUUAGAGUUUUUUUUGUUCCUAAAUAUAAGUCCAUUUCAAAUAUUUAGGUAGCAUUGAUUAGUUUUUUCCAAACUUACCCUUACAUUUAAAACUUAAUAUUUCAGUUUUUCAUAUUUUAGUCUAUUUCCAAUGCCACUAUCAUUCACUAACCUUAACUCUACAAAUUCAAGUUUUUCAUCUAUUGGAUUACUUAGUGGACUACAAGAGUAUUAAUUAAAUGCAUUAUAUGGAGUACAAUUCUAGAGAUAGUGGGAUAUUAAUUUGGACUGAGAAUUAGUAAUUGAAGUGUUUAUAAGUAAGAAUAAUUUAGUAAAGUUAAUUAAAAAGUCUUACAAAUUUAUUGCACUUAACUAACUUUAACCACUUUUCUUAAUCCUAGAUAUUUAGGUAAAAUAGACUUAUAAUAAGGAACGGAGGGAGUACCAUAUAACAUAUUUUAACCUUUUAUGUUUGAAACAUUGCGUGUCAAGCUGAGAGUCCUAUUUCAGCUAACGUGGCCACAAGAUUCAAUAGCAUCUCUAUUGGCUUAAAGGUUUUGCAACCAAGCAAGUACCACGAUGGCGGCUAAGAUGACUUAGUUGUGGAACAUUCUGUCCUGACGUAGAUCGAGCGGAUUUUUCCGACUUAUUAAGUACAUUGCAAGGUUACUCAAAGGUAAUCAUCAUCCUGGAAGACUUUCCUUGAGGCUUCCUAAAGACUUCAAGUCACAAAUACGUUGGUUACCGAGCCUAGAAGUACAAGUUUAGUUGUUUCGCUAAGCAUUAUUCAUUAUGAAAACUUUGAGUUCUUAGACUAUGAAAUUCUUUUUUUUUUUUUUGCUCUUUCACUAACUUGAGCGACAGAGUGCCUUCUGCAAGUACACCCCCGCCGUGUCAAUGCUCUACCAUGCUAGAGAAGCCUUCUCAGAUCGCGCACCACCACCGAAGACAAAGUAGAACCACCAAUCUCAAUUCAUGAAUAAUAGAUAUGAAAUUGAAACUUAGGCGAUUAGGGAAUGUAAUAUUGUAGACAAAGGCGUAAAGAAUUAAAAGUUGACACACUUUUUUACUGAUGAAACACUUCAUCCCUAACAAAGAGAGUUUUUUCAUUCAAUCUAGUCAAAUUACUGACAACCUUGACCCUCAGUAAUUUACCGAUGAAAAAGUCGUUGGUACAUUUCCGACGAUCUUAGUCGUCGUAGACAUACUAACAUAAGUGGUCGUCAGUAACUUCCACUACAAGAAUAUGAUUGUAUUGCUCUUGUUAGAGUUUGAUUAAUCUAAAUUUAUAAGUUUCGUUUAGCUUGACUAAUACUCUAAUCUUAUUACUUUUUGAAACAAAAGAAAGAUACACAAUACUUUUUCUUGCAAUGACUAUUUUUUAUUUGGUGAAUUUUGUGGUACCCAAAAAUUAUUUUGGGUAUGAUACCCGCAUUAAGUGAUUUAGUAGAUUAUUGUCAUGUGAAAUAGGAUUUUAACCGUCAAGGUUUAUUGAUGAUAGAGAUGACGACAUCUGGAGAUCGUGACCGUGAAUGAUUGUACUCAGCACCUUUGUUUUGAACAGAUUUUUGGCGAUACAGGGGAGAAGAAGGGUUGUGAACUGUCUAGAGGAUUACUUUGCAAAUAAUGAUAAGAAUAUUAACAUUUAAAAUUUAGAGCAUAUUUUUUUUAUUAGUACACAUCAUUUAGAGUAUGUGUGAUUCAAUUAGAACAUGUCUCUUAUUGAUACACAUCAUUUUAGGUACCAUACCUUGAUCUAGAUUAAGGUAUGAUAGCAAGCCCUUUAAGUCCAUACCUUUUUAUUUUCUCAUUUCUUCCCCAAUUUUUCGUAAUUAGAUUUCCAUUUUCUGAAGUAUUUAGUCAAGUAGCAACAUGAACCUCUUAUCUGUUUCUUUAUCUCCCUGCGGUCUUUUCCACAAAUGUUGCUAUCUAAAGGGAACAGUAUUUAAUGCAACCUUAAAGGCUAAGUUGAGCUGUUAUUUAUCAUGAUUCACAAAUCCCACAACCGCUACUGAUUAACCAAUUAGCAAUUCAUCACAAAAUUGACUAUUUUGGAGGAAAUAACAUUUCUCUAUCACAAAAAUGACCUCAGACUAAUUAUGAGCCAAUGAUCCGAUUCUAACAAAGAUUAGGGUUUUGAUGGUUCAAAAAAAUGUUGCAUAUUUUUUAUACAAAAACUUAAGGCAGGGGAUGUUGACUCAGUUCAAGAUUGAGAAAGUUGUUGGGCACGAUACGCAUAUAGAGAAGACUUACAUUUAACUCGCCUCAAGGGGAUGAAGGAAGGCUCGAACUUGCACCAUACCAAAUAUGUGUCCCUGUUUUGCUCCACUCGACCAACCCCUUGCGUUUGAAUUUGUUUUAUUUUGAUAGUAAGAGAGCUUGAUAAAAUCCAAUUAAUUAUAUUGGCUUUAUGUUGAAUUUGGAUUCGUUUAACCUUCAGAAGUAGAAUGUAAGUAGCAGAAAGGAGAGUGAAGAAAUGCCUCCAAUAAAAACCUAUACUGGUCUGUAGCAUGUGUUUUGUUAUCUUUGCAUCUGUGCUAAUAAGUCAAUCAAAGGUAUAGCAAAUUGGUCAGGUAAAUAUAGAGUGCAAAAGUUGUAAAAGUUAUUUGUAACAGAAGCUCGGCAAACAUAUUUGUUACCAAGGAUACCAUGAUUUUCUAUUUGGUAUUUGAAAGUUUCGUAGCUUCAUGGCCAACAGAAGUACAGACUGUACAGUUCAAGUAUACUUCAUGUUGGGUUAAAACUUAAAAGCCUUUUGAACUUCAACGGACAGAUAAGAAGCUAUUUGAACUUACAUGUCCUUAUUUGUAAGCAUUUUGCUCCAUUGUGUUGGACUUACAACUUCCUUACAUUCUUAAACAAAAUACCAUUUUGUAUUUGAAGUGGGCAUGGAGAUAAACACUUCAAAGAUUCAUGGUAACAUAAACGGACUUUCAUUCCUAUCCUAAGAAGAGUUCCGUUUACAUUUUAUCUUAAAGUGAAAUAUCCAUUUUCACUAAUACAAACGGAUAACCAAAUACAUCAUAGCUCGUUUAUGCAUUGGUCAUAGACAUUCUGACUCUGCAAUGACAUUAUUAGUAUACACAACAAUUCAGAACAUCGAUUUAUACAUUUUUUUAAAGGGAGGUGUGAGGCUGUUCCUUUCUGUCACUUUACCUUAAUAUCAUACAUAAGGACAACCAUUUAGUUCAUUUAUUUAUAAAACAUUGCAUAAAUUUCAAACUAGAAGGACAACCACAGAUAAUGGGUUCUUGAGAAAUUUGGGAACAAUGAAAUUGCUCAGUCAAGAGCUCUUAUCCAUUCAUUUGCAUAUGCAAAUUGAAACUCAAAUAAAAAAUGCCAAAAUAUAGGAUGGCAUUUCUCUUGAAAAAAGAAAAAGAAAAAACUGAACACAUGGGAAGAAGGGGAGGCUACAAAUGCCUUUUUGUAUGUAGAUUUCAAACUUAGUAGCCUGCUGGUCUGUGUGCAAUGAAACUGAUGCACUGCACUUGGCGAACAUUGUCGAAUCCAAUGAUGCGCACAAAAGCGUUGGGGUAUGCCUUCACAGCCUCAUCAAGUUCCUUCAACACCUGGGUAGCAUCACUGCAUCCAAACAUGGGGAGCUUCCACAUGGUCCAGUAGCGUCCGUCAUAGUAUCCAGGUGACUUGUGGUUCUCACGGUAGACAAAGCCUUUCUGCACACACAAAAUGCAGCAACAGAUCAUCAAUCAUCAAAGCUAAAAGUUUAAUUAACAUGUUUGGAUCGGUACCGAUACACAAUUCUAAGCACGGUAACUCGAGAAGCUACACUUUGUGGAGUUUCCUACCGCAAAACCAAACAAGGGUUGGAAGUAAAUUCACCUCCAACUCAAAUUACAAGUAAGGAGUCAACCAUCAAAGCUCAAAAUUAUAUGGAUAUCACGUUUGAAUUGGUGGCGGCACACAGUUCAAAAUAUGAUACUUUUAGCGUGUUUAAUUCUGCGGUAAGGAGUCUCAUAAGUCAUAAUCAAUUAUAGGGAGAAGUUACAAAGUGUAGCUUCUGAACUUAUCUUGUUUUGGAUUGUGUGCCGCUAUCAAUCCAUACUUGCUACUUAUAGCUUCUCGCCUUCUCCUAAAACCAUGCUAAUAAUGAAAACCUACAAAGUAAAGAACAAAAGGGUUGGAAAAGAAUUGACCUCUGUCUCAAACUCCAAGCAAGGAACCCACCCCUUCCUGAGAAGGUAUUCUACUUCCUUUAAGAGUUGCUCUGUGGUGAGUGGUGGAAGGUAUGAAAGAGUCUCGAACUUCUUCUUGCCAAUAGGAGGCCACACCUAGUAGUAUGCAUAAGAUCAAGUAAAGGGGUUAACAAGUUUGUACUUAUUUUCAUUUGCAAAUGACUAUAAUGUCAUUUAGUACAUGUUUGGUAACUCUUCCACUAUUGAUUCUGAAGUCAGAAUCAAUUAUGGGAAGAAGCUUAUGUAAGUAGCUUCUAUGUGUCAGGAUUUAUUAUGAGGAAAUAGAAGCUGAUCCAAAAAUGCUUAUUAUAUUAUGGUACAAAAAUAGGUAAUAUGGAUUGUGAUCAUUUUGAAGCCUCUUAAGUCUUACCUGCAUGCAUUGUACUCUUCCACCGUUGUUUGCAAUGGAGGUAAUGUCAUUGUUGACCUUUCUUACUGGGAAGCCAGCCAUGGACUUGAGGCCAGUGAAUGGAGCCACCAUGUUGGCCUGUGCCGGAGAGGCACUGUUAAUGGUGGUGACGGCAGAGGAGGUGAUCAUAGAGGAAGCCAUUUCUUUCUCCUCUCUUAGUUCUCUAUUCA
rnacentral:lncRNA from 1 species